rnacentral:rRNA from 1 species
GAUGCUGACGAGUGGCGACGGGUGAGUAAUACAUCGGAACGUGCCCGAUCGUGGGGGAUAACGGAGCGAAAGCUUUGCUAAUACCGCAUACGAUCUACGGAUGAAAGCAGGGGACCGCAAGGCCUUGCGCGGACGGAGCGGCCGAUGGCAGAUUAGGUAGUUGGUGGGAUAAAAGCUUACCAAGCCGACGAUCUGUAGCUGGUCUGAGAGGACGACCAGCCACACUGGGACUGAGACACGGCCCAGACUCCUACGGGAGGCAGCAGUGGGGAAUUUUGGACAAUGGGCGAAAGCCUGAUCCAGCCAUGCCGCGUGCAGGAUGAAGGCCUUCGGGUUGUAAACUGCUUUUGUACGGAACGAAAAGCCUCUUUCUAAUAAAGAGAGGUCAUGACGGUACCGUAAGAAUAAGCACCGGCUAACUACGUGCCAGCAGCCGCGGUAAUACGUAGGGUGCGAGCGUUAAUCGGAAUUACUGGGCGUAAAGCGUGCGCAGGCGGUGAUGUAAGACAGAUGUGAAAUCCCCGGGCUCAACCUGGGAACUGCAUUUGUGACUGCAUCGCUGGAGUGCGGCAGAGGGGGAUGGAAUUCCGCGUGUAGCAGUGAAAUGCG